rnacentral:rRNA from 1 species
UACGUAGGGGGCAAGCGUUGUCCGGAAUCAUUGGGCGUAAAGAGCGCGUAGGCGGUCCGGUAAGUCGGUUGUGAAAACUGGGGGCUCAACCCUCAGAGGCCGACCGAUACUGUCGGGCUAGAGUGCGGAAGAGGCGAGUGGAAUUCCUGGUGUAGCGGUGAAAUGCGCAGAUAUCAGGAGGAACACCGAUUGCGAAGGCAGCUCGCUGGGACGUUACUGACGCUGAGACGCGAAAGCGUGGGGAGCAAACAGG